rnacentral:rRNA from 1 species
UACAGAGGGGGCGAGCGUUGUUCGGAAUUACUGGGCGUAAAGGGCGCGUAGGCGGCCCGCUAAGUCGAACGUGAAAUCCCCAGGCUCAACCUGGGAACUGCGUCCGAUACUGGCAGGCUUGAAUCCGGGAGAGGGAUGUGGAAUUCCAGGUGUAGCGGUGAAAUGCGUAGAUAUCUGGAGGAACACCGGUGGCGAAGGCGAGAUGCUGGACCCUUUCUUACGCUGAGGCGCGAAAGCCAGGGGAGCGGACGGG